UCCCAGUGUCCCGGUCCUAUUCCCGCUCUUCCCCUGAUCAGCCGACCUUUGACCUGCCAACACUUUCCUCGUCACUCUCCUGUUUCCACGCCAACCCCUCGCUCCACUUCCUCCUGAUCGAACGGCCCCUCCCUCCAGGACAGACGGCCCCUCCCUCCAGGACAGACGGCCCCCCCCCCUCUGAACACCGCUCCACAGUCUGUUAGUCUUAGUCGAGCACGACACUGUGCUCCUGUCAAAGGGCCCUGGUGGGCCCCAAGAACCCCCCAGGACCCCGCCGGGCCCCCAGGGUCUGUUGGGGUCCGGUCCAGGGAGGUAAAGAAGGAUUUGCUUUAUUUGGCUUGAAUCACUAGCUUCUAGCUGCUAGCGGACUCUAUUAGCGCCUACCUGCUAGCGGACUCUAUUAGCACCUGGCGGCUAGCUGCUAGCGGACUCUAUUAGCUCCUGGCGGCUAGCUGCUAGCGGACUCUAUUAGCCCCUGGCGGCUAGCUGCUAGCGGACUCUAUUGGCCCCUGGCGGCUAGCUGCUAGCGGACUCUAUUGGCCCCUGGCGGCUAGCUGCUAGCGGACUCUAUUAGCCCCUGGCGGCUAGCUGCUAGCGGACUCUGUUAGCCCCUGGCGCCUGCGCCGAGCUCACAGCUCGUUGAGCGAGGGUCCCUCAUCCGGCGACGCCUCGUCCAGACGGGUCGUUUCGUACCUUCGUCUUCCUUCCUCUUCCUCAUGACUUCAGUGGGUUCCAUGAUGGCCGCCCGGACAGACCUGCUGUCCGGCCAUCAGGGUCGACACCCCCCUCAGGGGGAAGGGGUGUGGGGGGAGAGGGGGCUGACCUUGGAGGGGAGCAGGUGUGUGAGGAGGGUCUUUGUGGGCGGGGCUCUGAGGGGGGAGGACGGGGUGGGCGGAGUCUUCUUCUUGGCCGCUCUCGCCUUCUCCUUCUUCUCCUUCUUCUCCUUCUUCCCGCUCUUCUCCUUCUGCUUGCCUCCCUUCUUCUCCCCCCUUCCCGGCUCCUCCUCCCCCUCCCUCCCUGCGGGGGUCCGGUCCCUCCCCCUCCUCCGGGCGCGCUCCAGACGGACCUCCGUGUGGAACAGAUCCUCCGUCGCCAUGGUGACGCGCUCCAGCUGCUGCAGCAGGGCGUCCAGGGUGGGGAGCAGCCUCCGCAGCGACGCCUCCGUCUCCGCCCGCUCCCUCCAGCCGGCCCCGCCCACCGAGCCCCCGGGGCCCGGGGGCUCGGUGAGGCCGCGGGCCCGGGGGGGCACCAGGAGGCCUCUGAGCCGGCGUCGGGGCUGGGGGACUCGGGCCCCUCCAGGGGGGGCAAGCAGAGGGACUGGCAGUCGCUGGUAGAGGAGGAGCGUGACGGGGGCAGGGCCACGCCCUCGAAGCGGACCUUAUGGCGGAACUGGAGGAGGAGAGGAGGAGGUGAGGAGAGACACACAGAGAGAGACAGUACUGGGGAGGAGAGACACACAGAGAGAGACAGUACUGGGGAGGAG
ensembl:lncRNA